rnacentral:rRNA from 1 species
UACGUAGGGGGCAAGCGUUGUCCGGAUUCAUUGGGCGUAAAGAGCGUGUAGGCGGCCAGGUAGGUCGGUUGUGAAAACUGGAGGCUCAACCUUCAGAGGUCGACCGAAACCAUCUGGCUAGAGUCCGGGAGAGGAGAGUGGAAUUCCUGGUGUAGCGGUGAAAUGCGUAGAUAUCAAGAGGAACACCUGAGGUGAAGACGGGUUGCUGGGCUGACACUGACGCUGAGGCGCGAAAGCGUGGGGAGCGAACAGG